rnacentral:lncRNA from 1 species
UAAAUCCGUGUUUCCAUCGAAAAACUAGAAAAUCAUAUUCAUAUCCAUUUCACAUUACAACAUUUAAGCAUUUACAUUCAACCAAAAUUACAAGUGCAAGACAAUUUCAAUCACAAACUACAAUGAACUGUCCCAAGUGCACUUAAACUAACAUGGCCUAUGUUUCCCAUUUAGGUUCCUAAAACAUCCAAUUUCAACCAUAAUUUCCAUAGCCAUUUCCUUCGAGCAAUGUGCAGCUCUAUGUUUUAGCAUAAGUUGAAUCCCAAACCUAUAGAAAGAUCUCAGUUCCGACAUUAACAUCAUAAUGCGUUUUGCUAAACAUCCACAUAUUAUGCCCAAGUGCUUUCACACAUCACUAAUUAAGUUAAACCAUUGAGCAUAAGAUGCCAAAGAUCAUUUGAUUAACAUAACAUACCAAGUUUAAUAUGAAGCAACCUAGUUUUAUUAACUUAACUAUAGUAGCAGUUAUAAACAUCCUUAAGAUUUUCUAGUUCUAACAUCAUACAUUCCAUAAGCAACUCUAAUCCAAGUAAGUGUUUACAACUCUAAUCCAAGUAAGUGUUUACGACAGUAGCAAUUUAAAUGAGUUAGUAGCCAAAUGAAUGAUGAAUAAUGACCUGCUCAAAGCAUCUGAAGAGAUAACAGGGCCUUGCAUAAGCCUUCCCACCUUCCUGUAAAAUUACCAGCUUACUGCAUAAUUAUAACAACAAGAUCAACAAUUAACAUUACAUCACAUAACCUGUUCAAAUUACAGUUCACAAAAAACAAUUUCAAAACUAACGAGUCCAAUUGGCAAUCUCAUAACAGAUCCAUAACUAACUCCUUCUCCUAACCAAUUCAAC